rnacentral:misc_RNA from 1 species
CAAGUGACCCCGGUCUAACCACCGGGAUGUUCAUAACCCCUUUGUUGUCCGACUCUGUUGCCUCCGGGGCGACCCUGCCUUCGGGCGGGGGCUCCGGGUGGACCACUUCAAACUCUUGCGUGACUUUGCAGUCUGAGUAAACUUAAUUAAUAAAUUA